GUGCUCAAGGCCAGGCUGGAUGGGGCUUUGGGCAACCUGGUGUGGUGGGAGGUGUCCCUGCCCAUGGCAGGGGGGUGGAACGGGAUGGGCUUUAAGGUCCCUUCCAACCCAUACCAUCUUAUGAUGCUGUGUUUAUGCAAAUACCAAUUUGUUACUGGUGUAAUUUAGAAGCUGUUCUAAGUGAUUUGUUAGUCCCUAGAGUAGACUAAGUGGAGAUUUUUCUCUUAGCAAGCCACUGGAGAUUGGUGAUUUGGAAGUAACAUCCGGAGGAAAGAACAGCUCCUGCAUGGGUAUCAUGGCUAUGGAUUAGAUUUGGUUCUGAGUGAAUGUAUUGUUAAACGCUCCUAUUUUUGUCCUUAAAUAACCAUAAAACUUCAGAGACUGAAGGCUGUUGUUUAGGGCUUUUCUUCCUCUUUUCUCCCCCCCCACUCUCUCUCAGGAUUUUACAUUAAAAUGGGUGGGGAAACACGACUGUUCAUCUGAAGCCUGCAUUAGGUUUCAGCUGUAAAUGCUAGUGCAAUUUAUGCUAAUAUAAGGCCAAAAUGAACCGUCAAGAAUAUACUGUUAUCCCUGAUAGAUAGAACAGUAUGCAAGGUUUGGUGUAAAUCCAGCUAUUUAAUAUGAUGACAUGAUUGGUUUUUUUGCUUGCUUUCCACUUUUUUUUGAGUGAAUUAGCAAUUUAAAUUUAUAAGCAUAUUUAAAGAGACCUACUUUUUUAUGCGUUGUUAAUUAUAAAAACAGAAAAGGUCAAGGUUCCUUUGGUUCCUACUGUCACAUUUGUCAGCGGAGGGAAACAUGCUGUGGGAGGGUUGUUGUAGCUGCCCUAAGCAUUUAGAGUCUUUUCUCCCUUAAUAAUACCCGCCCAGCAAUUCACAUGCUAAUACCUAGCUUUGAGGUAUAUGGUGGGAGUGUCUAAGGUUCUGCUAUCCACAAAUGAGUCUCUGUUCCUUCAGCAGCCUGAUUGUUUCACAUCCUUUGGGAGCAUCCGCGUGCUGCCUCCAGGACCCUAGAAAAACAACACAGGCGAAGUCGAUGGAGCGA
rnacentral:lncRNA from 1 species